rnacentral:rRNA from 1 species
CGUCUAGGCGGACUGACAAGUCAGGUGUGAAAUCCCUCGGCUCAACCGGGGAAUUGCACUUGAAACUGUCGAUCUUGAGUAUGGGAGAGGAAAGCGGAAUUCCUGGUGUAGCGGUGAAAUGCGUAGAUAUCAGGAAGAACAUCGGUGGCGAAGGCGGCUUUCUGGACCAAUACUGACGCUAAAGCGCGAAAGUGUGGGGAGCAAACAGGAUUAGAUACCCUGGUAGUCC